AAUUCUCAACUCCAUCAGUUGUGCUGAUGGGGCUUGGAUGUGGGAGUUUGCGGGUCUUUAUUAAUAAAGGUCAGCUCUCCUGAAAUACAUUAGCGGAACCGUUUGCGGUCCCGUCACUAGUGUGAUAAUUAUCUACACUGUGAUGGAUUGCUCUCUGACUAGUUCAGCUGCUAAUCGUCCACUAUGGACAACGUUUAAUGAACU
rnacentral:misc_RNA from 1 species